rnacentral:rRNA from 1 species
CCCCUGUGAACAUACCACUUGUUGCCUCGGCGGAUCAGCCCGCUCCCGGUAAAACGGGACGGCCCGCCAGAGGACCCCUAAACUCUGUUUCUAUAUGUAACUUCUGAGUAAAACCAUAAAUAAAUCAAAACUUUCAACAACGGAUCUCUUGGUUCUGGCAUCGAUGAAGAACGCAGCAAAAUGCGAUAAGUAAUGUGAAUUGCAGAAUUCAGUGAAUCAUCGAAUCUUUGAACGCACAUUGCGCCCGCCAGUAUUCUGGCGGGCAUGCCUGUUCGAGCGUCAUUUCAACCCUCAAGCACAGCUUGGUGUUGGGACUCGCGUUAAUUCGCGUUCCCCAAAUUGAUUGGCGGUCACGUCGAGCUUCCAUAGCGUAGUAGUAAAACCCUCGUUACUGGUAAUCGUCGCGGCCACGCCGUUAAACCCCAACUUCUGAAUGUUGACCUCGGAUCAGGUAGGAAUACCCGCUGAACUUAAGCAUAUCAAU